UAGGGUUUAAAAUCCUAAUGCUGACUGAAGGAAAGAGUUCAGUUUAGGGUUUAAAACCCUAAUGCUGACUAAAUGGAAAAGAGUUCAGUUUAGGGUUUAAAGCCCUAAUGCUGACUAAAUGGAAAAGAGUUCAGUUUAGGGUUUAAAACCCUAAUGCUGAUUAAAUGGAAAAAGUUCAGUUUAGGGUUUAAAACCCUAAUGCUGAUUAAAUGGAAAGAGUUCAGUUUAGGGUUUAAAACCCUAAUGCUGACUAAAGGGAAAAAGUUUAGUUUAGGGUUUAAAACCCUAAUCCUGAAUAAAGGGAAAAAGUUCAGUUUAGGGUUUAAAACCCGAAUGCUGACUGAAGGGAAAAGUUCAGUUUAGGGUUUAAAACCCCAAUGCUGACUGAAGGAAAGAGUUCAGUUUAUGGUUUAAAACCCUAAUGCUGACUACAGGAAAGAGUUCAGUUUAGGGUUUAAAACCCUAAUGCUGACUGAAGGAAAAGAGUUCAGUUUAGGGUUUAAAACCCUAAUGCUGACUAAAUGGAAAAGAGUUCAGUUUAGGGUUUAAAACCCUAAUCCUGACUGAGGGAAAAAGUUCAGUUUAGGGUUUAAAACCCUAAUGCUGACUAAAGGGAAAAGUUCAGUUUAGGGUUUAAAACCCUAAUGCUGACUACAGGAAAGAGUUCAGUUUAGGGUUUAAAACCCUAAUGCUGACUAAAGGCAAAAAGUUCAGUUUAGGGUUUAAAACCCCAAUGCUGACUAAAGGAAAGAGUUCAGUUUAGGGUUUAAAACCCUAAUGCUUACUACAAAAAAGAGUUUAGUUUAGGGUUUAAAACCCUAAUGCUGACUAAAUGGAAAAGAGUUCAGUUUAGGGUUUAAAACCCUAAUGCUGACUGAAGGAAAGAGUUCAGUUUAGGGUUUAAAACCCUAAUGCUGACUACAGGAAAGAGUUCAGUUUAGGGUUUAAAACCUUAAUGAUGACUAAAGGGAAGAGUUCAGUUUAGGGUUUAAAACCCUAAUCCUGACUAAAGGGAAGAGUUUAGUUUAGUGUUUAAAACCCUAAUGCUGACUGAAGGAAAAGAGUUCAGUUUAGGGUUUAAAACCCUAAUGCUGACUAAAUGGAAAAAAGUUCAGUUUAGGGUUUAAAACCCUAAUGCUGACUGAAGGAAAGAGUUCAGUUUAGGGUUUAAAACCCUAAUGCUGACUACAGAAAAGAGUUCAGUUUAGGGUUUAAAACCCUAAUGCUGACUAAAGGCAAAAAGUUCAGUUUAGGGUUUAAAACCCCAAUGCUGACUGAAGGAAAGAGUUCAGUUUAGGGUUUAAAACCCUAAUGCUGACUACAGGAAAGAGUUCAGUUUAGGGUUUAAAACCCUAAUGCUAACUAAAGGAAAAGAGUUCAGUUUAGGGUUUAAAACCCUAAUGCUGACUGAAGGAAAAAGUUCAGUUUAGUGUUUAAAACCCUAAUGCUGACUACUGGAAAUAGUUCAGUUUGGGGUUUAAAACCCUAAUGCUGACUGAAGGAAAAGAGUUCAGUUUAGGGUUUAAAACCCUAAUGCUGACUAAAGGGAAAAAGUUCAGUUUAGGGUUUAAAACCCUAAUCCUGAAUAAAGGGAAAAAGUUCAGUUUAGGGUUUAAAACCCGAAUGCUGACUAAAGGAAAAAAGUUCAGUUUAGGGUUUAAAAC
rnacentral:lncRNA from 1 species